GAUAGCUCACUUUUGAACGCUUCCUCUAAAUGCAUCUGGAGUGUGCAGUGAGGAAUCAUGGGAGCAUUUGGCAGAGGGCUACUCAUCACCAUCUGUCUUUAUUUCUGUAUAUGUAUUGGAGAACAGGACAUGUGCACACCACGAGAAUGCCUGAACUGUGAUAAUACAGUGACAUGCCCACGGUGUUCUUCCUAUUCAAGCAAUUGCACCAGUG